GGGAGGAGGUGACACCAGGACCCAGAGUGGAGAGGGCGGGGGAGGAGGUGACAUGGUGACACCAGGACCCAGAGUGUGAACUGGAAGAGGGGCUGUGAGUAGCAUGAGAUUUGGGGCUGGGGGAAAGUGUUGGGUCCAGUCAGGAACCUGCCCAUCCCAUACCUCCCGCAGAGGCGGCUCUGCCCUCAGCACUGCUGACCACUGGGCAGGCCUGGGCUGCCAGGGUCUCUCUGGGAUCAGCCCUGCCCCAUCUGCUGGGGGCUGAGCCCCAUUGCCUGCAGCCCCCCAUCAGGCCCUGGUGUCUGGAUGCCAGGCACAACGGGGCCACCUCCUGGGACGGGCCCAGGCCCCAGGACGAUGCCCGGCUGGUAUGCUGGCCGCAUCCUCCUCUGGCUUCUCUGUUUCCUGGGCUAGGCUUUUUUUAAACUCGAAGCAAAGCCAGCAGGAGAUGACUCUGUGGCCUGGCAGCCGAGCCCAGGGUUGACCCGCCAGUGCCGCCCUCCAGCCUUCCCCCUCCACACUUCCUCUGAGGCCGGGCAGUACCCGGGACCUUUGGCACCUGCCUCAGUUUCCAUCUUUGGGGGAGACAGGAGCACCCCCACUCCCUGACACAAAGGUCUGCCCCAGAGGCUCGGUCUAGGGGCCCAGCCUGUGGGUUCCAGCUCAGGACAGAGCACACCAGGGAGAAGAGAAACCGGCUCUUUCUCCGCCUGUGCGGGCCAGGCCCGAGGCGCGUGCCCCUCGCGGGGAGGUGGGACCCCUGAGUCAUUUCCUGUGCUAUCAGCUCCGGAAGCAGAGUGGGCCCGCUCAGGUUCCCAGAAACAGGCGAGAUGGGGGACAGACUCCGUGGCUGCCACGGAAACAAGGAGAACACUUUCAGUUGAAGGAGAAGCCUGGGACCCUUGACACAGACGUGAGUUGUGCAUUCGGAACCUCUCUGUGGAAAACACAGACCCUUCAUGACACGCAAACUUGAAGCCGGUGAGGCCGAGUCUCGGGGCUGCACCAAGCAGGAAGCCUGGCUGUCCAAUGUUCCAAAUCUGGAUGUGAAGUGGACCAUGCAAACAGGACCCAAGGGGCAUGGGGGAGCUGGCAGAGGCGCCCGGGAAAGGUGGGGAAGCACCUGUCGCCAGGAAGGUAGAGAGGCGCCUGCCCCACAACACGGUGCCAGCGACGCAAUAACCACCUUCGGAGACCGGACCCCUCAACGAGCACUCAGCCCACAACGUGACACAGAGAAACCAGAGACCUACGCAGGGAGUGCACCCACGGGGACACUCCGAGGGCGGCCUCCUGCCUGCCCUGAUUACUUAAAAAGGAGAUUCUUGGAAACCUUUGUGGGCCCACAGGUGCACCCUGACUCCCAGGGAUGGGGGCUGAGCCACCCAGGAAACAUGAAAUCAAAGAUCCAGACAGCCCUGACCCUCCUGAUUCCAGGGCCCAUAAAUAAGUCAUUCUUAAAAUAGUGGUUGUUUUCUCUCUA